UACGUAGGUGGCGAGCGUUAUCCGGAAUUACUGGGUGUAAAGGGCGUGUAGGCGGAUGAACAAGUCUGAUGUGAAAUUUUGCGGCUUAACUGCAAGCUGUCAUUAGAAACUGUACAUCUUGAGUGUCAGAGGGGAAAGUGGAAUUCCUAGUGGAGCGGUAAAAUGCGUAGAUAUUAGGAGGAACACCGGUGGCGAAGGCGACUUUCUGGCUGACAACUGACGCUGAGGCGCGAAAGCGUGGGGAGGCAAACAGGAUUAGAUACCCCCGUACGU
rnacentral:rRNA from 1 species